rnacentral:rRNA from 1 species
UACUGCAGUCGAGCGGAGAUGUGGAGUGCUUGCACUCCUGAUGCUUAGCGACGGACGGGUGAGUAUACGUAAUUCACCUGCCCUUAAGACCGGGAUACCUCACGGAAACGUGGGCUAAUACCGGAUAGGCGAUUUCCUCGCAUGAAGGGAUUCGGGAAAGGCGGAGCAAUCUGCCGCUUAUGGAUGGACCUACCGCGCAUUAGCUAGUUGGGGAGGUAACGGCUCACCAAGGCAACGAUGCGUAGCCUACCUGAGAGGGUGAUCGGCCACACUGGGACUGAGACACGGCCCACACUCCUACGGGAGGCAGCAGUAGGGAAUCUUCCGCAAUGGACGCAUGUCUGACGGACCACCGCCGCGUGAGUGAUGAAGGUUUUCGGAUCGUAUAGCUCUGUUGCCAGGAAAGAACGCUAUGGAGAGUAACUGUUCCAUAGGUGACGGUUCCUGAAAAGAACGCCCCGGCUAACUAGCUGCA